rnacentral:rRNA from 1 species
GUGACCUCGGAUCAGGUAGAUCCCCACU